rnacentral:rRNA from 1 species
AUGAAGACCUUUCUCAUCCUUGCCCUCCUUGCUAUUGUAGCAACCACCGCCACAAUUGCAGUUAGAGUUCCAGUGCCACAAUUGCAGCCACAAAAUCCAUCUCAGCAACAACCACAAGAGCAAGUUCCAUUGGUACAACAACAACAAUUUCCAGGGCAGCAACAACCAUUUCCACCACAACAGCCAUAUCCGCAGCCGCAACCAUUUCCAUCACAACAACCAUAUCUGCAGCUGCAACCAUUUCCGCAGCCGCAACUACCAUAUCCGCAGCCGCAACUACCAUAUCCGCAGCCGCAACUACCAUAUCCGCAGCCGCAACCAUUUCGACCACAACAACCAUAUCCACAAUCGCAACCACAGUAUUCGCAACCACAACAACCAAUUUCGCAGCAGCAGCAGCAGCAACAACAACAACAACAACAAAAACAACAACAACAACAACAACAACAGAUCCUUCAACAAAUUUUGCAACAACAACUGAUUCCAUGCAGGGAUGUUGUAUUGCAACAACACAGCAUAGCGUAUGGAAGCUCACAAGUUUUGCAACAAAGUACUUACCAGCUGGUGCAACAAUUGUGUUGUCAGCAGCUGUGGCAGAUCCCCGAGCAGUCGCGGUGCCAAGCCAUCCACAAUGUUGUUCAUGCUAUUAUUCUGCAUCAACAGCAACAACAACAACAACAACAACAACAACAACCGUUGAGCCAGGUCUCCUUCCAACAGCCUCAACAACAAUAUCCAUCAGGCCAGGGCUCCUUCCAGCCAUCUCAGCAAAACCCACAGGCCCAGGGCUCUGUCCAGCCUCAACAACUGCCCCAGUUUGAGGAAAUAAGGAACCUAGCGCUAGAGACGCUACCUGCAAUGUGCAAUGUCUAUAUCCCUCCAUAUUGCACCAUUGCUCCAGUUGGCAUCUUCGGUACUAACUGA